GACUCAUGACGGUCACUGUGCUGAGGCAGAGGGACAGUCCUCUAACCCAUCUCACACCGGUAAAGCCAAGUCCUCUAUAAUUUGGAAGUCACAGGCGUUUGUACACAAGCUGGAGACUUCCUUUGUUGGCUCCAGCCAGCUGUGAUUGACAUAAAUGAAUAUGAACAGAAUCUAAGAGCAGGUCCCCAACCCCUGGGCCAUGGACUGGUUCCAUUAGGAACCAGCAGGAGAUGCGUGGAGGGUGAGCGAGCAUUACCACUUGCACUCCAACCCCUGUCAGAUCAGUGGCCCCGUUAGAUUCUCAUAGGAGCACGAACCCUAUUGUGAACUGCACAUGCGAGGGAUCUAGGCUGUGCACUUCUUAUGAGAAUCUAAUGCCUGAUGAUCUGUCACUGUCUCCCAUCACCCUUAGAUCGGAUCAUCUAGUUGCAGGAAAACAAGCUCAGGGCUCCCACUGAUUCUACAUUAUGAUUCAAAUGUAUCUUAAGAAGAAGUCACAGACAUGUUGCCAUGAAGCUCAACUGCUUAUGUCGUGUUCUCAGGGGUUUUAUACACAACCCAGCCUCUGCCAUCUGCAGCCCAGCAGCCCCACCGGAGCCUCCCCGUGCUCCCACCUCACAUCUGAAAUAACAGCUGGGCACUCAGGGAGUCUCGUGGCCCAUCCUGGAAGAUGAAUAAAGCUUGGUUUCCAUGUUUGGCCUUGGCGCUGCCAUGUGGGAUCUGAUGAUACAGUUAUUUAGCAAGAAACCACAGGAAUAAAAACAAUGUGAUAAAACCCAGAGAAA